rnacentral:lncRNA from 1 species
CUCCCUCUGUCUCCGUUACCUCCCACACCCCCAGGACAACAUGUCCCCCUCAAACCCGCACUGUCCCCUGUGUCCCCUCCCUGUCUCCUCUGUCCCUCACACCGAGGUCGCUCUGUGUCCCCAGACCCGCACUGUCCCCUGUGUCUCCUCCCUGUCCCCUUUAUCCCCCACACCCGAGGUCUCUCCGUGUCCCCUCCCUGUCCCCUCUGUCCCUCACACCGAGGUCACUCUGUGUCCCCAAACCCUCCCUGUCCCCUCCGUCCCUCACACCGAGGUCGCUCUGUGUCCCCAGACCCGCACUGUCCCCUGUGUCCCCUCCCUGUCCCCUCUAUCCCUCACACCGAGGUCUCUCCGUGUCCCUCCCUGUCCCCUCUGUCCCUCACACCGAGGUCUCUCCGUGUCCCCUCCGGGCCGCCCCGCGGGCGCUGCCGGGCUCUGAGGGCCAGGCCGGGCAUUGGAGCUGCUCCCGGGGCUGGGCCGGGCCGGGCAUUGGCGCUGCCCCAGGCCCGGAGGGGCCGGGCGAGCCCGGGGAUUGGAGCUCCCGGGCCGGGGAUCGGAGCUGCCCGGGCCGGGAUUGGAGCUCCGGGCCCGGGGAUCGGAGCUGCCCCGGGGCUGGGGUUGGAGCUGCCCGGGGCUGAACGAGCCCGGGGAUUGGCGUUCCCGGGGCCGGGGGUUGGAGCUCCCGGGGCCGGGAUUGGCGUUCCCGGGGCCGGAGGGGCUGAACGAGCCCGGAGAUUGGCGCUGCCGGGCCGGGAUUGGCGCUGCCGGGGCCGGGGAUUGGCGUUCCCGGGGCCGGGGAUUGGAGCUCCCGGGCCGGGAUUGGCGCUGCCCGGGGCCGGAGGGGCUGAACGAGCCCGAGGAUUGGCGCUCCCGGGGCCGGGAUUGGCGCUGCCCGGGCCGGGGAUUGGCGCUCCCGGGGCCGGGAUUGGAGCUCCGGGGCCGGGGAUUGGCGUUCCCGGGGCCGGGAUUGGCAGCAGCCCCGGGGCUCUGCUCAGCCCGGCCCCCGGCGGGAGGGGCCGCGCCCCAGAGCCGGGCCGGGCCGGCACCGAGCGCACCGGGGCCGGCACCGAGCGCGGCCGGGCCCGCGGGGGUCGCUCGGGGCCCGCGGGGGUCGCUCGGGGCCCCGAGGCCGCCGGGCCGGGGAUGGUGGCGGGGCCGGGCGGGCCGGGGCGGCGGCUCCGGGCCCGGCCCUGA